GGUCACAUUACAGCUUCUACAAGGAAGUAGGGAAGGAGGUGAGUGGAGAAGGAUGUACUGAGAGGAUAAAGGAGGACAAUGGGAUCACACACAGCUUCCUCUGCACAUCUGAGCACUUGGUUCUGUUUUCAAUGUCUGUGUGAAGAAUCAGGUGAAGAAAAAACCUCAGCAUAUGCCAUGAAGAAUUUUUAAAAAGAUAGAGACAUGGGAGGUGGAGAGCCCUGUUUGUGCAUGGUGGAUCUGCGAAACCUCAUGUGCUGCAAGGUGCAUCUGACAGUGGAAGUCAACCACUGGAUUCAAUCAAUAUGAGUUCUUCCUGCUCUUGUCCCUUCUGUCAGACUCCAAGAUCAGGCCUGAAGGGCAUUCUUCAAGCAACAAGUCCCAUGGAAAAGAAGCAGAGUUAAUGGAAUUGCAGUGGAAUUUCACACCAUUCAGUGCCUUUGAAAACAAAGUUUCAGCAAAUCAAGUAUUAGUGAAAAAAUAUUAAAAUCCAGCCAACAUUAUUUGCAAACUGCCAGGUGCCACAGUCACUUAUGGGAAAUGGUGAUGCACAAACGCUUGCUUGAGGGAUUCAAGGAGACAGGCCUUGGCUUCCCAAGCAGCACAGCUUGAGGGUCAGACACAAAGCAGUCUAUUUUGAGAGGAUCUGCAGUAAGAUGGCGGUAAAAGAAGCCUUGUAAAUCCUUUCAGCAGGCAAGUUAAUUACAAGAUAUGGCUACAGACAGCAUGAAUUUACCUGCCUGCCUUCUUCACUCACUCCACUUACAGCACUGGCCUGUACAAGGUCUC